UACGAGGGGGGGCUAGCGUUGCUCGGAAUCACUGGGCGUAAAGGGUGCGUAGGCGGGUCUUUAAGUCAGGGGUGAAAUCCUGGAGCUCAACUCCAGAACUGCCUUUGAUACUGAGGAUCUUGAGUACGGGAGAGGUGAGUGGAACUGCGAGUGUAGAGGUGAAAUUCGUAGAUAUUCGCAAGAACACCAGUGGCGAAGGCGGCUCACUGGCCCGUAACUGACGCUGAGGCACGAAAGCGUGGGGAGCAAACAGGG
rnacentral:rRNA from 1 species